UAACCACUGUUCCAGCAUCCUGCACUGCUACCUGAUAACCAGAGACGGAUUAAGGGGGGAGAGGGGAACAGGGGGUCAGUAUCUGGGCCCCUUCAUUAAGGGGGCCCCCAUACCUUAAUCCCAGCUGUAGCUGUGCAGAGCAGGAAGGAACUGCAUGAGAUCAGGGAGGUGGAGUCCGAGUAGGGGGCAGGACUACACAACCCUGCGCCAGCAGCAGCAUGGGAGAGAGGAGGCAGAUGAACAGUCCCAUUGGGAUGAAGACUAUCCACAGCAGCCACUCUAUAAGAUAAGGCAUCUACUGGAGUGAACAGAAACUUUACUUCAUCCUCAAGCCUGUGCACAUAUAUUUCCAACAUCUGAUGUACAAGGAUAAGUGCUACAUAUUGCAUAUUGGGCCUGCCAGACUGCAGAGGUGCUUCAUAGGCUGUAUGAUCCAGUCACACAGCAAUGUUGGCCUGAGGUUCCUGCACUUGGCUUGGCUGAGUUGGGUAAAGCAUGGGAUCCCCUGAAAUGAGAGACCAGUUGUGUGCAGGUGUGCCGAAUGUGGUGACAAUGGCUGCAGGCUCUCGAGGAGUUGCAUUGGUGGGACGGCUGAUACGUUUGACAUGCGUCGAUGUGGUGUUGUAAUGUGUACUGGCCAUGAAGACACACCCAGACUGCGUUUCCGUGGUGGCAACGUGUGUGUGGAUGGACCUAAAAAUAAUAAUAAUAAUAAUAAUAUUGUAUCCAACUUGAUGUGAAAACACACCCAGUGCUAAUGUACUUACCAGCAUCCUCAGCAUCAGUAGGAGUGGAGACUGGCCCAGAGGCUCUUUGUGACUUUUUGGAGACUGUAAAUGUAUAUGAAGCAUUUAAUUUUUGACCAAAACAUUUAAUAAACACACAUAUGUUGCUGCUCAUGAAUUCUAAAAUCAUCUUUAUAAAAAUAACAAAAUAAUGUAUAUUAAAAAAAUACAUUAUCAAAAAUGUUUGCAUACUUUCUAAACAACUAUAACACAUAAUGUGCCUAACCAUAUACAGGUUGAGUAUCCCAUAUCCAAAUAUUCCGAAAUACGGACUUUUUUGCGUGAGAGUGAGAUAGUGAAACCUGUGUUUUUUGAUGGCUCAAUGUACACAAACUUUGUUUA